rnacentral:rRNA from 1 species
UACGUAGGGUGCAAGCGUUUGUCCGGAAUUACUGGGCGUAAAGCGUGCGCAGGCGGUUUUGUAAGUUUGUCGUGAAAGCCCCGGGCUCAACCUGGGAAUGGCGAUGAAGACUGCAAGGCUUGAAUCUGGCAGAGGGGGGUAGAAUUCCACGUGUAGCAGUGAAAUGCGUAGAGAUGAUGGAGGAAUACCGAUGGCGAAGGCAGCCCCCCGGGAUAACAGCUGACGCUCAUGCACGAAAGCGUGGGGAGCAAACAGG